rnacentral:rRNA from 1 species
GCUACGCAUGCAAGUCGAGCGGAGAUGGUAGCUGAAGGUGAUGAGCUGGAAGCUAUCAUCUUAGCGGCGGACGGGUGAGUAACACGUGAGCAACCUACCCUCAGCACGGGGAUAACAGCUCGAAAGGGCUGCUAAUACCCGAUGGGACCACGGCAUCGCAUGGUGCUGUGGUGAAAGGGUAGCCGGAGAGGCUAUACCGGCUGGGGAUGGGCUCGCGGCCCAUCAGCUAGUUGGUGGGGUAACGGCCUACCAAGGCGACGACGGGUAGCCGGCCUGAGAGGGUGUACGGCCACAGUGGGACUGAGACACGGCCCACACUCCUACGGGAGGCAGCAGCGGGGAAUCUUGCGCAAUGGGCGAAAGCCUGACGCAGCGACGCCGCGUGAGGGAAGAAGCCCUUCGGGGUGUAAACCUCUUUGGACGGGGAGAAGUGGAAGAUAGUACCCGUUUAAAAAGCCACGGCUAACUACGUGCCAGCAGCCGCGGUAAUACGUAGGUGGCGAGCGUUGUCCGGAAUUACUGGGCGUAAAGGGUGCGUAGGCGGCCUGGUAAGUUGAGCGUGAAAUUUUUGGGCUCAACCCAAAAGGAGCGCUCAAGACUGCCGGGCUUGAGUGCGGGAGAGGACGGCGGAAUUCCCGGUGUAGCGGUGAAAUGCGUAGAUAUCG